GACUGUGACAUCAUGAUGGCAGGAAGGAAGCUGUCACAAGCAUGGCCAGCCUGCCUGUCUUCAUCUUCUGCAUCUUCCUGAGCUGCUCCCCCAGUCAUGCUUACCUCCAAGAUUUCUCAAUAUUAAUAAAUAACUGUCCAGCCUCGUGGGGAGAUGAUGACCACAUAUGUGGUGCAACAUCCUGCAGCAACUGGAAGGGGCCCUGGGCCAGCCAGCAGACAACAUAUUUGGGUGGCAGAUAGAGUGGAGGGGGCAGGGCUCUGGGGAUGCCCUAACUGCUGCUCCUGCUGCUGCUGCUGCUGCUGCUGCUGCUGCUGCUGUUACAGGCUGGAAUGCGAUGGCACGAUCUCAGCUCACUGCAACCUCCGCCUCCUGGAUCCAAGCGAUUCUCCUGCCUCAGCCUCCUGAGAAGCUGGGAUCACAAGCAUGUGCCACCAUUCCCCGUGUUUCCCAUCCAGUACUCAGAACUUACUGAGUUCCCUGAGUUCAGAGGCCACCUUCCUCCUCAACACACAUGGUACGUUCCUUCAUCACUUCCCCCAUCAGAACAGUAAGUUGCUUCAGGAGUGGGGAUUUUUCUCUUGUGGGACUUCGAGUGCCCGGAAUCUGUGCUUCUAUGAAACCCCUGCAGUGUGCCCAGCGCUGAGCCAGCGAUCAUCAAAAGUGUGACCCUUGGGAUUACUGUGCUGACGAGGGUGGAAGGAAUCACUCAUUCAACGAUCGGGGAAGUAUGCACUGGAUUCAACCAUUCUUGAGAGAAAUUUGGAAGCAUUUGUCAAAAUCAUUAAAAAUGUAUAUACAUUAAACUUUUACAUUCUUCAUUUGA